AUUGAACGCUGGCGGCAGGCCUAACACAUGCAAGUCGAGCGGAGCGGCGGACGGGUGAGUAAUGACUAGGAAUCUGCAUGGUAGUGGGGGAUAACGUUCGGAAACGGGAGCUAAUACCGCUUAAUAUCAGCUGAGCCUAGGUCGGAUUAGCUAGUUGGGGGGGUAAAGGCCUACCAAGGCGACGAUCAGUAACUGGUUGUAGAGGAUGUUCAGUCACACUGGAACUGAGAAACGGUCCAGACUCCUACGGGAGGCAGCAGUGGGGAAUAUUGGACAAGGGGCGAAAGCCUGAUCCAGCCAUGCCGCGGGUGUGAAGAAGGUCUUCGGAUUGUAAAGCACUUUAAGUUGGGAGGCGUUACCAACAGAAUAAGCACCGGCUAACUUCGUGCCAGCAGCCGCGGUAAUAC
rnacentral:rRNA from 1 species